rnacentral:tRNA from 1 species
GGGUCGGCCCGCCUAUUGGCGUAGGCAACUGUCUGUAAAACAGCCGCGAAAAGCGUUGCAAGUUCAAAUCUUGCCCGACCUA